GAAUCUCGAAAGCCUAUCUCAGUUCGGAUUGGAGGCUGAAACCCGCCUCCAUGAAGUUGGAUUCGCUAGUAAUCGCGCAUCAGCCAUGGCGCGGUGAAUACGUUCCCGGGCCUUGUACACACCGCCCGUCAAGCCAUGGGAGCCGGGGGUGCCUGAAGUUCGUUACCGCAAGGAUCGACCUAGGGCAAAACUGGUGACUGGGGCUAAGUCGUAACAAGGUACC
rnacentral:rRNA from 1 species